GGCAGCGUCAGAUGUGUAUAAGAGACAGCUGCGAAGGUGUUCCGUAAGGAAUGCUGGAGGUAUCAGAAGUGAGAAUGCUGACAUGAGUAGCGAAAAGAAGUGUGAGAGACACUUCCGCUGAAAGUCCAAGGUUUCCUGCGUAAAGCUAAUCUGCGCAGGGUUAGUCGGCCCCUAAGGCGAGGCAGAGAUGCGUAGUCGAUGGGAAUCAGGUUAAUAUUCCUGAACCAACUAGGAAGUGACGGAUUCAGUAAAUUGUAUGUCCUUAUUGGAUUGGAUGUGCAGUGAAUGAGUCCCGGGAAAUAGCCCUAGUAUAGACCGUACCCGAAACCGACACAGGUGGACAGGUAGAGAAUACCAAAGCGCUUGAGAGAACUAUGUUGAAGGAACUAGGCAAAAUACUUGCGUAACUUCGGGAUAAGCAAGCCCCAUUUCUGGGCAACCAGAGGUGGGGGGCACAUACUAGGGGGUAGCGACUGUUUACUAAAAACACAGGGCUCUGCUAAAUUGAAAGAUGAAGUAUAGGGUCUGACGCCUGCCCGGUGCUGGAAGGUUACGCGGAUGAGUUAGCGCAAGCGAAGCCCUGAAGCCAAGCCCCAGUAAACGGCGGCCGUAACUAUAACGGUCCUAAGGUAGCGAAAUUCCUUGUCGGGUAAGUUCCGACCUGCACGAAUGGCGUAACGACUUGGGCGCUGUCUCAACCAUGGACCCGGUGAAAUUGUAUUAUUCGUGAAGAUGCGAAUUACCUGCGGAAGGACGGAAAGACCCCGUGAACCUUUACUGCAGCUUGGCAUUGGCUGUUGGUGCGGUGCGUAGAGGAUAGGCAGGAGCCUGCGAACCGGGAACGCCAGUUCCCGGGGAGGCGCCCUUGGAAUACUGCCCUCACCGCAUCGGCAGCCUAACGCGCCGCCCUCAUCGGGGGCGCGGACCGUGCCAGGUGGGUAGUUUGACUGGGGCGGUCGCCUCCUAAACUGUAACGGAGGCGUGCGAAGGUUCGCUCAGGGCGGUUGGCAAUCGCCCGCAGAGCACAAGAGUACAAGCGAGCCUGACUGCGAGACCAACAAGUCGAGCAGAGACGAAAGUCGGUUCUAGUGAUCCGGCGGCCCAGCGUGGAAUGGCCGUCGCUCAACGGAUAAAAGGUACUCCGGGGAUAACAGGCUGAUCUUGCCCAAGAGUCCACAUCGACGGCAAGGUUUGGCACCUCGAUGUCGGCUCAUCGCAUCCUGGGGCUGUAGCAGGUCCCAAGGGUUGGGCUGUUCGCCCAUUAAAGCGGUACGCGAGCUGGGUUCAGAACGUCGUGAGACAGUUCGGUCCCUAUCCUCCGUGGGCGCAAGAGAAUUGAGAGGAUCUGUCCCUAGUACGAGAGGACCGGGAUGGACGCACCUCUGGUGCCGCAGUUGUCGACCAACGGCACAGCUGCCUAGCUACGUGCGGAACGGAUAACCGCUGAAAGCAUCUAAGCGGGAAGCCGGCCUCGAGAUGAGUUCUCUCUUCGGUAAGGCCACUUGUAGACCACAAGUUCGAUAGGCCGCAGCUGCAAGCCCCGCGAGGGGCUCAGGCGAGCGGUACUAAUCGGCCGAGCUCUUCAUCU
rnacentral:rRNA from 1 species